rnacentral:rRNA from 1 species
UGUGAAGAUGCAGUGUACCCGCGGCAAGACGGAAAGACCCCGUGAACCUUUACUAUAGCUUGACACUGAACAUUGAGCCUUGAUGUGUAGGAUAGGUGGGAGGCUUUGAAGCGUGGACGCCAGUCUGCGUGGAGCCGACCUUGAAAUACCACCCUUUAAUGUUUGAUGUUCUAACGUGGAUCCGUAAUCCGGGUUGCGGACAGUGUCUGGUGGGUAGUUUGACUGGGGCGGUCUCCUCCUAAAGAGUAACGGAGGAGCACGAAGGUUGGCUAAUCCUGGUCGGACAUCAGGAGGUUAGUGCAAUGGCAUAAGCCAGCUUGACUGCGAGCGUGACGGCGCGAGCAGGUGCGAAAGCAGGUCAUAGUGAUCCGGUGGUUCUGAAUGGAAGGGCCAUCGCUCAACGGAUAAAAGGUACUCCGGGGAUAACAGGCUGAUACCGCCCAAGAGUUCAUAUCGACGGCGGUGUUUGGCACCUCGAUGUCGGCUCAUCACAUCCUGGGGCUGAAGUAGGUCCCAAGGGUAUGGCUGUUCGCCAUUUAAAGUGGUACGCGAGCUGGGUUUAGAACGUCGUGAGACAGUUCGGUCCCUAUCUGCCGUGGGCGCUGGAGAACUGAGGGGGGCUGCUCCUAGUACGAGAGGACCGGAGUGGACGCAUCACUGGUGUUCGGGUUGUCAUGCCAAUGGCACUGCCCGGUAGCUAAAUGCGGAAGAGAUAAGUGCUGAAAGCAUCUAAGCACGAAACUUGCCCCGAGAUGAGUUCUCCCUGAGACUUAGAGUCUCCUGAAGGAACGUUGAAGACGACGACGUUGAUAGGCCGGGUGUGUAAGCGCAGCGAUGCGUUGAGCUAACCGGUACUAAUGAACCGUGAGGCUUAACCUUACAACGCCGAAG